UAGCUCUACUAAGAGAGGUGUUCCUCCU
rnacentral:sRNA from 1 species